UGUUCUUUCAUAGAUUUAUCUUGUGGUUUAUGACUCCCCACGGGACUGAUAGCAACCUGACAAGACGGACGCAGUCCGUUCGUAUGUCAUAGACGGAGCACGCUGGCAAGCAUGGAACAAAAAAGAUGGAAAAUUAUCUUCUUUCCCUUGUUUUAUAUCCCUGUUUUUUGCUAUUUUUCACAUCUCAUAUCUCCAUCAUCACUUUGAUCCGCUUGUUCUGUUACUUUUUCCCCUGCCGCGCCUUGCUCCCGCCGGGAGCCGUUCAUUGAUGAAUGACGCGUGGAGAGUUGGAGAAAUAAGCGGUGGUUGUGUGUAUUGUGUGUUCCUACCACUUUCCACCACCACGAGUGUCUCAAUCUGAUUUGUGGUCCGUAAAAUUCAAAGUCAUAGUUGAAGUUAUUCCGAUUUUCAAUGUACCUGGUCAAGCGGCCGGAAGUGAGAACAGAAAGAUUGACCUGAAAAGAAUGAGCCGCAAGUGGAGAGGCAAAAAGUGCGUAGGCCACAAAUUAGUGUUUGCAUUUGGAAUUUUUGAUAAAUGCG
ensembl:ncRNA T28B4.10 ncRNA